CUUGCAUGGAUGAUGCAUCUAGGGAUGGACACUACCACACUUGCUUCGGAUGCUGGAUCUGACCUAGAUUUUCCAGAUGAGUGACCAGGUUAAAGUUUUAGGAGCAGGUCCAUUCCCAAGUAACUAUAAGCCCUACCCGGACCAAACUUGCAUGGAUGAUGCAUCUAGGGAUGGACAUGGCCACACUUACUUCGGAUGCUGGAUCUGAACUAGAUUUUCCGGAUGAGUGACCAGGUUAAAGUUUAAGGAGCAGGUCCAUUCCCAAGUAACUAUAAGCCCUACCUUGACCAAACUUGCAUGGAUGAUGCAUCUAGGAUGGACACUACCACACUUGCUUCGGAUGCUGGAUCUGACCUAGAUUUUCCAGAUGAGUGACCAGGUUAAAGUUUUAGGAGCAGGUCCAUUCCCAAGUAACUAUAAGCCCUACCCGGACCAAACUUGCAUGGAUGAUGCAUCCAGGGAUGGACACUACCACACUUGCUUCGGAUGCUGGAUCUGACCUAGAUUUUCCACAUGUGAGACCAGGUUUAGAUUUAGGAGUAGUCUCGUUUCCAAGUAACUAUAAGCCCUACCUGGACCAAACUUUCAUGGAUGAUGCAUCUAGGGAUGUACACUAACCAAUCUGCUUCGAAUGCUGGAUCUGACCUAGAUUUUCCACAUGAGUGAAUUUUAGCCAUAUUUUAACCAAAUUAGCAUGGAUGAUGUAUCUAGGGAUGGACACUUCCAGACUUGCCUUGGAUUCUGAAUCUGAUGUACAUUUUCCAGAUGAGUGACCAGGGUAAUUUUUUGGAGUAGCUAUAUAAUAUUAUGGCCUGUUAUGAUUAAACUUGCAUAGAUGGUGCAUCUAAGGAUGAAAACUUCCAGACUUGCUUUGGAUGUUGGAAGUGACCAAAAUUUUCUUGAUUACUAAACAGGUCAAAAGUUUUUUGAGCAGGUCUAUAAUUAAAUCAAACUUGCAUGGCCAUUGAUCUUGGGAUGUACCCUAACUAGAAAAAAAAUAUGAUGUGAAAUUUGCCUUACAUGUAGAUAACAUUCGUCGAGGUGAGCUUCGUAAUCUUUGAUUACCUAUGUUUCAUAAGUUUUGUUUGUGCAAAACGGAUACAUUUUAUGUAGUAUAAUUGAUGAGGCAUUAAAAUUAUACAAGUUG